rnacentral:lncRNA from 1 species
AGAGAAAUACGCCAGUACCGAAUGAAAAAACUCAACAGCAGUGAUGAUGGAACUCAAGGUUGUAUGGGGUUGCCAUGUGUGGUGAUGUAACAAGUUAUUUACAAAGUUCUGUCAUCAAAAAAAGAGCCACUUUCAAGCUGCACUGAUACCCUGGUCCUGACUUCCCUGGAGGAGAAGUAUCCCUGUUGCUCUCUUCAUCUCAGAGAAGCUCCUGCUACUUCCCCAACUC